rnacentral:rRNA from 1 species
UACGUAGGGACCAAGCGUUGUUCGGAUUUACUGGGCGUAAAGGGCGCGUAGGCGGCCCUGUAAGUCCGCUGUGAAAGUCAAGGGCUCAACCCUUGGAUGCCGGUGGAUACUGCAGGGCUAGAGUCCGGAAGAGGCGAGUGGAAUUCCUGGUGUAGCGGUGAAAUGCGCAGAUAUCAGGAGGAACACCUAUGGCGAAGGCAGCUCGCUGGGACGUUACUGACGCUGAGACGCGAAAGCGUGGGGAGCAAACAGG